GACGAACGCUGGCGGCGUGCUUAACACAUGCAAGUCGAACGGAAAGGCCCUGCUUUUGUGGGGUGCUCGAGUGGCGAACGGGUGAGUAACACGUGAGUAACCUGCCCUUGACUUUGGGAUAACUUCAGGAAACUGGGGCUAAUACUGGAUAGGAGCUCCUGCUGCAUGGUGGGGGUUGGAAAGUUUCGGCGGUUGGGGAUGGACUCGCGGCUUAUCAGCUUGUUGGUGGGGUAGUGGCUUACCAAGGCUUUGACGGGUAGCCGGCCUGAGAGGGUGACCGGCCACAUUGGGACUGAGAUACGGCCCAGACUCCUACGGGAGGCAGCAGUGGGGAAUAGUGCACAAUGGGCGGAAGCCUGAUGCAGCAACGCCGCGUGCGGGAUGACGGCCUUCGGGUUGUAAACCGCUUUCGCCUGUGACGAAGCGUGAGUGACGGUAAUGGGUAAAGAAGCACCGGCUAACUACGUG
rnacentral:rRNA from 1 species